rnacentral:rRNA from 1 species
GUAACGAGCGCAACCCUUGUCCUUAGUUACCAGCACGUUAUGGUGGGCACUCUAAGGAGACUGCCGGUGACAACCGGAGGAAGGUGGGGAUGACGUCAAGUCAUCAUGGCCCUUACGGCCUGGGCUACACACGUGCUACAAUGGUCGGUACAAAGGGUUGCCAAGCCGCGAGGUGGAGCUAAUCCCAUAAAACCGAUCGUAGUCCGGAUCGCAGUCUGCAACUCGACUGCGUGAAGUCGGAAUCGCUAGUAAUCGUGAAUCAGAAUGUCACGGUGAAUACGGUUCCCGGGCCUU